rnacentral:rRNA from 1 species
AACGCUGGCGGCGUGCCUAAUACAUGCAAGUCGAGCGAGCUGAACCAACAGAUUCACUUCGGUGAUGACGUUGGGAACGCGAGCGGCGGAUGGGUGAGUAACACGUGGGGAACCUGCCCCAUAGUCUGGGAUACCACUUGGAAACAGGUGCUAAUACCGGAUAAGAAAGCAGAUCGCAUGAUCAGCUUAUAAAAGGCGGCGUAAGCUGUCGCUAUGGGAUGGCCCCGCGGUGCAUUAGCUAGUUGGUAGGGUAACGGCCUACCAAGGCAAUGAUGCAUAGCCGAGUUGAGAGACUGAUCGGCCACAUUGGGACUGAGACACGGCCCAAACUCCUACGGGAGGCAGCAGUAGGGAAUCUUCCACAAUGGACGAAAGUCUGAUGGAGCAACGCCGCGUGAGUGAAGAAGGUUUUCGGAUCGUAAAGCUCUGUUGUUGGUGAAGAAGGAUAGAGGUAGUAACUGGCCUUUAUUUGACGGUAAUCAACCAGAAAGUCACGGCUAACUA